GAGGAGAUGAUUGAGUGGUUCAAGGCGUAAUAUUGGAAUUGCUAUAUAGACUUUUGUUCAACGAUGAUUCAAAUCCAUCUCUUUUCG
rnacentral:tRNA from 1 species